AAGAGAAAUCAAAAAGCUCGAGCAAAGAAGUUAAUAAAUCAAAGAACAGGAAAGACGUCAUUUUCACAAGUUAAAGAAAAAUUGACAAAGGAACACGGACGAUGCCCAACCCGUGUUUAACUUUUUAGUUCCUGUUUUGUUCCUUCGAGUGGAAACGCGAGUGAUGACUUAUCAACUAAAAUUGCAGCAAUGGUCGAACGUAGUAGCCAACUUCCCGAAGGUGUCGAAGAUCAAAUUGCUCCAAAUGACAUAUUUUCCCAAAUCAUGGGAAAUGACAAACCAGGUCACGUAAGGAUGAUGGGUAAGGGAGUGUGUCCCACAGACGUGUGGAGUGGAACACCAAGAAGUACAUCAGACCGUUUGCUAAUAGAGUACAAAGAUAAAAUUGCACGACUAGAAGCAAUGCUUGCCGCAAAACAAAGACCUCGAGCUUUGCAAGCAGACAUAAGGCCAGAUGUGACAAAUUCUGAGUCUCUCUCAUCACAGGCUACAACUCAAGUUGAUCUGGUAUCUUUGUUUUUUUUUUCUAUAAUUUUGAAAUAUAUUACAUAUUAAAAAUGGUUAUUAAUCUAUUUGUUUUCUUGGAGGUUGGGACAUAUGUUUCUCUAAGGAGUUUUCUCACCUAAAAAGUUGUUGCUAAGGGAUUUAUUUAUAGCCUUGAUCCAACUACAAGAGUUGGCGGACACAUGUUAGGAUUGAAUUGGUGUGAGAUAUGUGCCGUAGCCAUGAUUGAACCCAAGGAGCAAUUGAUCAGGCCCUAUGAUAACUUUCAAGAGCUUUCCCUAGUACUUGGUCAUAUAAUUGAUUGGCCUAUAGCUUUGGUAUAUUCUAUCAUUUAUAACUUAUAAUUAACAAUGCAUUUCAGUUUGAUUCAUAAUUCACACACGUCCUAUACAUGCAGGUGACACCCACUGAGUGACAUCCAUUGGAUGUUUAUAAUUUCUCGAUCCACAUUUAGAUGACAGUACUCUAAAUUUGAUUACUAAUUAUACUGUUUGAACUACUUGUCUUGAUUUAUACUACUACUUUUUAGUGGACAUUUGCAUUCUCUUUGUGUGUGGACUUACUAUUAUUGCAUUCAAUUUCAGUUGGACAUCUGUAUUUUAAUUCACUAGAUAGAGCUCUACAUGUAUUGUUUUUGUCUGGCCUUUGU